UACGAAGGGGACUAGCGUUGUUCGGAAUUACUGGGCGUAAAGCGCACGUAGGCGGAUUUGUAAGUCAGGGGUGAAAUCCCGGCUCAACCUCGGAACUGCCUUUGAUACUGCAAAUCUCGAGUCCGAUAGAGGUGGGUGGAAUUCCUAGUGUAGAGGUGAAAUUCGUAGAUAUUAGGAAGAACACCGGUGGCGAAGGCGGCCCACUGGAUCGGUACUGACGCUGAGGUGCGAAAGCGUGGGGAGCAAACAGG
rnacentral:rRNA from 1 species